AGUGAACGCUGGCGGUAGGCCUAACACAUGCGAGUCGAACGGCAGCACAGUAAGAGCUUGCUCUUACGGGUGGCGAGUGGCGGACGGGUGAGGAAUACAUCGGAAUCUACUUUUUCGUGGGGGAUGACGUAGGGAAACUUACGCUAAUACCGCAUACGACCUACGGGUGAAAGCAGGGGAUCUUCGGACCUUGCGCGAUUGAAUGAGCCGAUGUCGGAUUAGCUAGUUGGCGGGGUAAAGGCCCACCAAGGCGACGAUCCGUAGCUGGUCUGAGAGGAUGAUCAGCCACACUGGAACUGAGACACGGUCCAGACUCCUACGGGAGGCAGCAGUGGGGAAUAUUGGACAAUGGGCGCAAGCCUGAUCCAGCCAUACCGCGUGGGUGAAGAAGGCCUUCGGGUUGUAAAGCCCUUUUAUUGGGAAAGAAAAGCAGCAGGUUAAUACCCCGCUGUUCUGACGGUACCCAAAGAAUAAGCACCGGCUAACUUCGUG
rnacentral:rRNA from 1 species